UAUGUACGUCACGACAAGUUGCGGCAGU
rnacentral:sRNA from 1 species